GAUGAAGAACGUAGCGAAAUGCGAUAAGUAAUGUGAAUUGCAGAAUUCAGUGAAUCAUCGAAUCUUUGAACGCACAUUGCGCCCAUUAGUAUUCUAGUGGGCAUGCCUGUUCGAGCGUCAUUUCAACCCUUAAGCCUAGCUUAGUAUUGGGAAUCGACUUUACUGUCGUUCCUCAAAUUCAACGGCGGAUUUAUAGCAAUCUCUGAACGUAGUAAUUUUUUUCCUCGUUUUUGAAAUACUAUAAACCUCAGCCGCUAAACCCCCAAUUUUUCUAUGGUUGACCUCGGAUCAGGUAGGAAUACCCGCUGAACUUAAGCAUAUCAAUAAGCGAGGA
rnacentral:misc_RNA from 1 species